rnacentral:rRNA from 1 species
GACGAACGCUGGCGGCGUGCUUAACACAUGCAAGUCGAACGGUAAGGCCCUUCGGGGUACACGAGUGGCGAACGGGUGAGUAACACGUGGGUGAUCUGCCCUGCACUUUGGGAUAAGCCUGGGAAACUGGGUCUAAUAACGAAUAGGACUCCGGACUGCAUGGUCUGGGGUGGAAAGCUUUUGCGGUGUGGGAUGGGCCCGCGGCCUAUCAGCUUGUUGGUGGGGUGAUGGCCUACCCAGGCGACGACGGGUAGCCGGCCUGCGAGGGUGACCGGCCACACUGGGACUGAGAUACGGCCCAGACUCCUACGGGAGGCAGCAGUGGGGAAUAUUGCACAAUGGGCGCAAGCCUGAUGCAGCGACGCCGCGUGAGGGAUGACGGCCUUCGGGUUGUAAACCUCUUUCAGCACAGACGAAGCGCAAGUGACGGUAUGUGCAGAAGAAGGACCGGCCAACUACGUGCCAGCAGCCGCCGUAACAC